CUCUUUUAUUCUUCUUCAUCAUCUUUCUCUCUUUUCUUUUAUCAUCUUUCUUCUAACAAUGGUGCCUGCCGUCAAAAUCAGCCGCCGCCACCACCAAUCUCGUUUAACUCCUCUAAUUGAUUCUGAUUCAAAACGUACCCCAUCCGUUAUAAAGUAAGAUCAUCCUUCAAGAGAAAGAGGAAUAUAUGUAAUCUCCUUGUCCAAAAACCAACUGCAACUCAAAGUACUAAUUCCAGAUCCAUAGCAACAACAAUUUGGAUGAGGAUCGAACCCAAAUUUGAUUGCCAGCAGCAAAUAGGCUUUAUUGACUAAAGGAAUUAUUUUAGAUCUAAAAUGUAUGUAAAUUCGAUUCAACAAAAUGUGGAUCCAUAGGCUUUUCUUGUAAAGGUUCAUUGUUUUUUGAACUACUGAUUGAAUUGUAAUUUUUGUUUACCGGAAAUUAUAUAAUCAUUUUCUCA